AGGUAGUGAAAUCCUGGGGCUCAACCCUUUAAACAUUAUCUAAACUGCUAAGCUAGAAUAUAGAAGAGGUACUGGAAUCCUGUGUAGGAGAGAAAUCGUAGAUAUAAGGAGGAACACCGAUGGCGUAGGCAGGUAUGGUCUUUAUUGACGUAAGGCAGAAAGCGUGGGUAGCAAACGGGAUUAGAUACCCCGGUAGUCCACGCCGUAAACUAUGGAUGCUAGCUGUUAGAAGUAUCGACCCUUCUAGUAGCGAAGCUAACGCGUUAAGCAUCCCGCCUGUGGAGUACGAGCGCAAGCUUAAAACAUAAAGGAAUUGACGGGGACCCGCACAAGCGGUGGAGCGUGUUGUUUAAUUCGACGAUAAGCGAAGAACCUUACCCAGGCUUGACAUCCUGCGAAUCUUGCCGAAAGGCGAGAGUGCUUUAUUGAGCGCAGUGACAGGUGCUGCAUGGCCGUCGUCAGCUCGUGUCGUGAGAUGUUUGGUUAAGUCCAUCAACGAGCGCAACCCUUGUAGUCAGUUGGAUUUCUCUGGCUAGACCGCCCCGGCAACGGGGAGGAAGGAGGGGAUGAUGUCAGGUCAGUAUUGCUCUUACGCCUGGGGCUACAAACACGCUACAAUGGCCGGUACAAAGGGCAGCCAACCCGCGAGGGGGAGCAAAUCCCAUCAAAGCCGGUCCCAGUUCGGAUAGCAGGCCGAAACUCGCCUGCUUGAAGUCGGAAUCGCUAGUAACGGUAGGUCAGCACACUACCGUGAAUACGUUCCCGGGUCUUGUACACACCGCCCGUCAAACCAUGAAAGUCACCAAUACCUGACG
rnacentral:rRNA from 1 species